AUUGAACGCUGGCGGAAUGCUUUACACAUGCAAGUCGAGCGGCAGCACGGGGGCAACCCUGGUGGCGAGCGGCGAACGGGUGAGUAAUACAUCGGAACAUGCCCAGUCGUGGGGGAUAACACUUCGAAAGAAGUGCUAAUACCGCAUACGUCCUGAGGGAGAAAGCGGGGGAUCUUCGGACCUCGCGCGAUUGGAGUGGCCGAUGUCAGAUUAGCUAGUUGGUGGGGUAAGGGCCUACCAAGGCAACGAUCUGUAGCUGGUCUGAGAGGAUGAUCAGCCACACUGGGACUGAGCCACGGCACAGACUCCUACGGGGGGAAGCAGUGGGGAAUUUUGGACAAUGGGGGCAACCCUGAUCCAGCCGUUCCGCGUGAGUGAAGAAGGCCUUCGGGUUGUAAAGCUCUUUCGGCAGGAACGAAACGGCGAGCUCUAACAUAGCUUGCUAAUGACGGUACCUGAAGAAGAAGCACCGGCUAACUACGUGCCAGCAGCCGCGGUAAUAC
rnacentral:rRNA from 1 species